ACUCCUACGGGAGGCAGCAGUGGGGAAUAUUGCACAAUGGGCGCAAGCCUGAUGCAGCCAUGCCGCGUGUAUGAAGAAGGCCUUCGGGUUGUAAAGUACUUUCAGCAGUGAGGAAGGUGGGUAUGUUAAUAGCAUACUCAUUUGACGUUAGCUGCAGAAGAAGCACCGGCUAACUCCGUGCCAGCAGCCGCGGUAAUACGGAGGGUGCGAGCGUUAAUCGGAAUUACUGGGCGUAAAGCGCAUGCAGGUGGUUUGUUAAGUCAGAUGUGAAAGCCCGGGGCUCAACCUCGGAAUUGCAUUUGAAACUGGCAAACUAGAGUACUGUAGAGGGGGGUAGAAUUUCAGGUGUAGCGGUGAAAUGCGUAGAGAUCUGAAGGAAUACCGGUGGCGAAGGCGGCCCCCUGGACAGAUACUGACACUCAGAUGCGAAAGCGUGGGGAGCAAAACAGGAUUAGAUACCCUGGUAGGCUUGC
rnacentral:rRNA from 1 species